rfam:Schistosoma curassoni strain Dakar, Senegal genome assembly, scaffold: SCTD_scaffold0004887
AUUCAGUUGAAGAGCCCAAAUGGGACGAAAUACGCGUCCUGGAU